GACAGAGGGUGCAAACGUUGUUUCGGAAUUACUGGGCGUAAAGCGCGUGUAGGCGGCUCUGCAAGUCGGAUGUGAAAUCCCACGGCUCAACCAUGGAAGUGCAUUCGAAACUGCAGGGCUAGAGUCCUGGAGAGGAAGGUGGAAUGCUUUGGUGUAGAGGUGAAAUUCGUAGAUAUCAAGCGGAACACCGGUGGCGAAGGCGGCCUUCUGGACAGUGACUGACGCUGAGACGCGAAAGCGUGGGGAGCAAACAGGG
rnacentral:rRNA from 1 species